rnacentral:lncRNA from 1 species
AAAUGGAAACCAGGGAUAGGGCAGUCCUAAUUCCUGUUUAGUAUUAUUGUAUUCAUUCAACCUAGGGAAGGAUUUGAAUCACUAAUUUGGAUUGUUAAAGCUCUCAAGUGCCAUGAGAAUCUACAAACCAUGCUAAGUUGAUAGCAUGUGAAACUUAAGUGCUAAUUCUAUGAUGAGUUAGAGUAAUUAUUUAUCAAAAGGAAGCUUGAAUUAGAGGUCAUGAAUAUUGUGUAAUCACCUUCUAAAGAGACCUAAAUUGCAAGUUUAAGUAUUAGGGCUCUUAAUACCAUGAAAAGGCUUAAGGGAAUUGGUGCUGGCAGCUUAUAUGUAUAUGCAUGUAUCUAUCUAUAUGUUUAUGAAUAGUAUGUAUAUAAGCUGUAACUAAUAGUGAAAUCAGGGAUGAAUUGAUUCAAUUCCCUGGUUUAAAUGAUGUUCCCUGCUGUGUUAAGGAGUUGAUAAAGGAUUGCUAUGAGCUGAAUUACUUACCUUAGAAAUGAUGUUUAUAUGGACUUAUUGUAGCCAUAAGUAGCAGCCUGGAUGCUUCCAGACUUGUAGAGGUGGCCGAACAGCAACCUGAUGCUAUUGGUGCUGAGGAAAAAUUAGUUGGAGUUGUAGGGAAGGUGGCAAAGCUGAGAGUAAUCCAAGAGGACAGCAAUGUAAGCUAAGUUAAUAACUUAGUGUGACUAACUUAAUUGCUCAGAAUUAAUCCAUAAAAGGAUUCAUUAUUGCUGAAAAUUGAGAGUUGAAAUUGAUGUUGUUGGGGCUGCCAAAUCGAAGGAUUCAGCUGAAAGAGAGUUGGGCCUAUUGGAGCUGUUGAUUCAGGAGGCCAGCUAAAACGAAACUCUAGAAAGUUAAGAGCAACCUAGAGAAGCCGAGGUGCUGAAAUUUCUGCAUUGCGCAGAAUUUCAGCAUAGAUUACUUGCUAUUGGAGUUGGAAAAGAGAACUUAGUGAAGCUUCAAAUUGGGUAAGUGAAUAGUUCUUCUCUGAGUUGAGUGAUAGGAGUUACUCUAAAGAGGUUAUAAGUACUUGAAUUAGUUAAUUGGAAUUGGUAUAGGGGCUGCGAAGAGGAAGUAAAGUGCAGAAAAUUCAGCAUGGUGCUGAAAUUUCAGCAUAAGUGCAGAAAUUUCAGCAUUAGAAAUUCCUGCUGUGGAGCUGAGAACGAACUAAUUGAGCAGCGAACUACGGUAAAUAUGAUUGUAUCAUGAUUAGGAAUCAGUUAAUUGUAAUAGAGGGAUGUUAAUUAAGAGUUCUAUGGGUAUUUGAGUUAAUGAAAACUCAAACCUGCAUUGAGGAGUUACUAGUUUGAACCUUAUAAAACUAGCUUACACUCUAUACAUGUACAUACUAGGAAUGAUCAGUAAAGAGAAAAUUGGGAUUAAAUUAGCUUUAAAUUUUGAGCUAAUGGAAAGGCAAAACUGCAUUGCUAAAUUCCUAAUUAAACUCUAUAAAGUUAGCUCACACUAUACAUAGCAUGUAUGUAUAUACAUAUGGAUGUCUAUGGAUAUAAUGUCAAAAUGGAAGACUGAAUUAAGUAGUUUAAAUUCUGAAUUAGAGUAAGAAUAAUGGCUGUAGAGAAAUGGAUUUGGGAGGCUAUUAAGGUCUCUACAUAAUAUGAAAUGUAUAGAACUAACUAUAGGUAUGUACAUAGUGAUACUAUACAUACUAGUUGGGGUUAAAUGCAAAGUUUGUAAAGAUACACAUGUGACUCAAGUUUAACCUCUUUUAUUCCUUUAGGAAGGAAGGGUAAGCGUGCUCGGAAGUUCGAAUUGACAUUUCGACGGACCUACGACGCGGUAAUUAAGAAACGCUUCGUUCUAGCUUUACUUGCAUCGAGUCGCGUGGACUAAUGUUUGUACGGUUCGUGACGUUGGUUCUAGUCUUCGACAUCCCUACAGGUGGGUGGUGCUAUCCGAAGUCUUUGAAUCACCUUUUAUGUCUAUGUUAUUCAUUGAGCAUAUUUACUUCUGUUUUUCAUGCAUUAUAGGGUAUGGGCAUUGGUAUUAUGCAAGUGAUAGUGAAUGUGUGAAUUCUUAUUGAUAGUGAGAACAUAUGAACAUAGAAUGUGGACAUAGAAACCUAUGAAUGCAUGGACUAUAACAAUAGUGAACUUGGUGACAUAUGACUAGAGAUUUGGUUAGCAUCGACAUUGGAAUUAUAAAACUAGCAUAAAGAGCUAGUUAGAGUAAAGUGUGACAGUGUUUGUCAGUUAAAUCCUCUAAAGGGGGAUCAGAUCAUACUCACAUUUGUUUGGUUCAAGUGAGGUCGCUCCUCCUUGAACGAUGAGCUCCGGAGUAGUCAUCUUUACUGGACCAGGAGGUUGCGUCUCCCCCAGUUGACAGUCCCGUCGGGUGCAGGUUGCGUCUCCCCGAUAUUUGGGAUAGUGUCAGUGAGUUAAUGUUAACCAGAGGGUUAACCAAAAGAUUGGGUAAAGAUAAUGAAAAGCAUGCAUGCAUAUUUACAGUUUUCAUAUACAUCGUUUCUUUCAGCUUGUACAGGCAUUGUAGUAGUUACAUAUUAUAGUCGGUUACUAUCN